rnacentral:rRNA from 1 species
GGAGUUAGCCGGUGCUUCUUCUGUGAGUGAUGUCCUUCCUGCCGGCUAUUAACCCGCAGGCCUUCUUCCUCACUGAAAGUGCUUUACAACCCGAAGGCCUUCUUCACACACGCGGCAUGGCUGGAUCAGGGUUGCCCCCAUUGUCCAAUAUUCCCCACUGCUGCCUCCCGUAGGAGUCUGGGCCGUGUCUCAGUCCCAGUGUGGCUGAUCAUCCUCUCAGACCAGCUACGGAUCGUCGCCUUGGUGAGCCGUUACCUCACCAACCAGCUAAUCCGACAUAGGCUCAUCCGAUAGCGCGAGGCCCGAAGGUCCCCCGCUUUCCCCCGUAGGGCGUAUUCGGUAUUAGCCUGGGUUUCCCCAGGUUAUCCCCCACUACCGGGCAGAUUCCUAUGCAUUACUCACCCGUCCGCCGCUCGCCACCAGGGAGCAAGCUCCCCGUGCUGCCGCUCGACUUGCAUGUGUUAGGCCUGCCGCCAGCGUUCAAUCUGAGCCAUGAUCAAACUCUGA